rnacentral:rRNA from 1 species
GCACCCGCGGUAAUUCCAGCACCAAUAGCGUAUAUUAAUGCUGCUGCAGUUAAAAAGCUCGUACUUGGAUCAAGAGUCGGACAGUGCAAGGUGGCCCUGUCUGUCCAGUUUGGUUCCGAUCAAGCUGGCGGCAGCGGGUAAACCCCUUGCGCCAAACUGUCCGCUCUCAACAGACCGAAACGGUUCCCUGUGAGUAGGUCCCUUAAUUGGAAUCGAAAGCGCCUACGCAUCAACCAUAUGCAUACGGGACGUCGGUCAAAGUUACUGUGAACAAACCAGCGUGUCCAAAGCAGGCUUGCGCCUGAAUGUUCGAGCAUGGAAUAACAAGGGAUCGAUCCUCUCGGUUCUUUUUGUUGGUUUUUAACCCGAGAAGGAGUAAUUCAGGCCACGGUGUCUGAGUUGGGUUCCCCUGGCCUCCGGGUCAGGCCCCAAUUAGGCCGUGUCCUUACGGGAUCAAUAGGGACUGACGGGGCCGUACGUACUUCCGCGUCAGUGGUGAAAUACUUAGAUCGCAGCAAGACGAACUUCUGCGAAAGCAUUUCUCAAGAAUGUUUUCAUUAAUCAAGAACGAAAGUGCGGGGAUCGAAGAUGAUCAGAUACCGUCGUAGUCCGCCACUGUAAACGAUGCCGUCUCAGGAUUGAGAAGUGAACCAAAUGACUUUCACAGCACUAACCCCUGAAACGAGAAAUCAAAAGUUUUGGGUUCAGGGGGGAGUACAAUCGCAAGGCUGAAACUUAAAGGAAUUGACGGAAUGACACCACAAGGCGUGGAGUAUGCGGCUUAAUUUGACCCAACACGGGGAACCUCACCAGGUCAGGACAAAAUAAGGAUUGACAGAUUGAGAGCUCUUUCUUGAUCCAUUGUGUGGUGGUGCAUGGCCGCUCCUGGUUGGUGGAGUGAUUUGUCUGGUUGAUUCCGUUAACGAACGAGAUCUCGACCCUUAAAUAGGUGCCCGUGUCGAUCGUAGUUUCACUCCUGCUCGCUUGCGAGACUAGGAUGGGACGAGACUGCGGGAAUACUUCUUAAGGGGACUGUAUGCGUCUAUAGCAUGCGGAAGAGCGAGCCAAUAGCAGGUCUGUGAUGCUCCUAAAUGUCCUAGGCUGCACGCGCACUACACUGACGCAUUAAACGAGUCUGAUUGCCUUACGGCAACCUAUCUUGAAGAGGACGGGAAAUCUUUUGAACUUGCAUCGUGAUGAG